rnacentral:rRNA from 1 species
UAACGCGUGGGUAACCUGCCUCAUACAGGGGGAUAACAGUUAGAAAUGACUGCUAAUACCGCAUAAGCGCACAGUGCUGCAUGGCACAGUGUGAAAAACUCCGGUGGUAUGAGAUGGACCCGCGUCUGAUUAGCUAGUUGGUGGGGUAACGGCCUACCAAGGCGACGAUCAGUAGCCGGCCUGAGAGGGUGAACGGCCACAUUGGGACUGAGACACGGCCCAG